CUUGCCAUUUCUUGGGCCGCAUAUGGAGGCAGGCUUGGGGUCGAAUCAGAGCUAUAGCUGCUGGCCUAUGCCACAGCAGUGUGGUAUCUGAACCACAUUUGCAAACUACACCACAGCUCACGGCAACACCAGAUCCUUAACCCACCGAGCAAGGCCAGGGAUCGAACCCUCAACCUCAUGGUUCCUAGUCAGAUUCGUUAACCACUGAGCCAUGACGGAACUCCCUACCAUCUUCAUCUUCUUAGGAAACAUCCCAAAUUCUGAGGUAGAGUUUGCCUCUUUAGGAGCUUCACAGGCUAAGUCUGUCAGGAGCAACAUUUUCAUUACAGGUUGUCAUCUUUACAACUUCCCUCUACUUUCAUUAUAUUUCAUGGACGUUACUUGUAGAAUUUAAAAUCGCUGGUUGGACAAAAGCUGCCUUACUAUUUAGCAAUGAUUGUCUUUUAAACAAAGAGUAAUAACUACCAUUUAUAAACACAAACACACGCACCACUGCGUCUAAUUCUGGAGGGAAGAUGAGCAAGUGUACUUAAUUCUAGAUGUUUGUCUGUUGUGGGUAUGGGUGUGUGUGCACGUAUGUGUGCAUAACGAUAAUUUUCUUUUUAUUUCUCAUCUAGAAGGAAAAAGUGCACAUUGGGCAUGAUUUAUUUCCAUUUAUUCCACACAUGGAAACUUUAUUAAAAACUCUAUUUAGUAAAUUUUGCAUAGCAUGAUAAGUUAAUAUCACUUAAUUCUGUUUUGGAGUGUUGGGCAUAGAAGACUUGAGCAGGGGGUACCCAACAAUCAAUGAUCCACCAUGAUAAUAGACUGGGUAAUGACCAAAUAAUAAUUGGGAAUGACUGAUAUAUAUUUUAUUGUUUUAAUUAAAGUAGAAUUGUUUAAUUGAAAUAAAAUUGUGCUACCUAAACAUGCAGCACAUGUAUAUAGUCCAUAUUCUACUCUGUUACAUGAAAAGCACUAAGUUUUCUUCAGGAAAAUCACCUAACAGAGAAGGUGAAAACCCACCUGUACUUACUAACAUUUCUGUUCAUUGCUGAAGAAAAAUUCAGGGAAGAGCAAACAGAAAACAAAACAACAAUGCUCUUUACUUCAGGAGGAAAUUAAUUUUAUAAUAUUUAUUUGCUAGAUUGUUUCUAAGACUGGAACUUUCAAGGGAGCCUGGGUUAUGUGAAAACUAACCACUGGCUUGUCAGCAGAUGAAAUCCUCAUGGAAGAGGGUUGUUUAGAGGAACUUAUUUUCCCUAUUUGUUCUUUUUAGAAAAGAAAAAAAAUUCUACAAAUUUCAAAAGUGUUAUAUAGCAUUAAACAUUAUGUGUGAAAGCUAUGCUAUUUAUUGAGGAUCUGUAAUUAUAAUGGUAGAAAAUAACAUGCAUAAGAGUACUUCAUUAUUCUGCUCUUCAGAAGUAAUUAUACAAAAAUUUUCCUAGUUAUUUUUUGUUGUCCC
rnacentral:lncRNA from 1 species